AAGCAGGUUUAUUUAAUAUCCAGUAUGUUUCCAAUUAGUUCCGAAUUCACCUUGAAUUCAAUUCAAUUCAAUUUUAUUGAUAUAGCAGCAAAUCAUACCACCAGUCACUUCAAGGCUGUAUGUAUUAUUGUAAGGUAGACCCUACAAUAAUACAUACAGAGAACCCAACAAUCAUAUGACCCCCUAUGAGCAAGCACUUUGGCGACAGUGGGAAGGAAAAACUCCCUUUUUACAGGAAGAAACCUCCAGCAGAACCAGGCUCAGGGAGGGGCGGCCAUCUGCUGCGACCGGUUGGGGUGAGAGAAGGAAGACAUUUGUUGUAGGUCUGAUUGAAGGACUGAUGUGAUGGUAAGUUGUCUGCUGCUCUGCUUUGAAUAUUGAGAGAUUAGUUGAUGGAUUUCAAGCCAAAUUGUGCCCAAGUUUAAGACCAUAUUCAUUGAUUGUUUUUGUUGAUGUUAUUGUUUUGGGCUUUUUUUCCACAAGAAUUUCUAGCUCCCCUAGAAUUUUGGCCACCCAAACAAUCGGACGAUUGCUGAGAAAGCACAAGGUUUUCUCCCCCUGUGCUAUUCAUAUCGGUGCCUGGGGGUUCUCCUUGAGAGGUCAGGGUCGAAAAAGGGAUGCUUCAGAACCUCCGAGGGUGUUAUGCGCUGAUUUGCAUCCAAGGCCAACAUCUGUUUGAUUAGCCUUACAAAUAAUGGUUGGCCAUUUUCAGGUCCUCGCCUAACCUCCAGUAGUUGUUCGAGGUCAUCUAGACACUUAAGUUUUAUCGAUCGAGUUUCUUUGGAUUGAUAAUCUGUCUCGUCUUGAAAUUGUUCUUGGGUCUUAAAUGUCCAGCGCCGUUCGUUGUACUUAUCCUCGAUGAAAUAGCAAUCAGUAUACAAGCCAGACUCUAGAAGAUGAUCUGGUAGCUGACCCUGAGUUUCAAUUAUGAAUUUCAAAACAUCAUAAUCGUCUUCCCCAGGAUAGAGAGGCAGCCCUGUAGCAAGCUCCACAGCUACCAGCCCCAGAGACCACAUGUCAAUUGCUUCAUCAUAUGAUGUGCCAAGCAUAAUCUCAGGUGCACAAUAACCAAUUGUCC
ensembl:lncRNA